ACAGUAUUAAUCACACUAGUGUCAUAUUUGUCUACAUACCUAUUCACGUAUUUGAUAUUACUCGGGUACUGAUUGCGUACGCGUUUUUUUACACGCUGUUAGAUAGAUGACUUUCAUCUAUCACAAAAAUGUGAUAAUUUGCAUUUUUUUUAUGUUCACACGUUUCAGAUGUAACUCUAGUAGACUUAGACAGAAACACAGGACUCAUGGCACCAACAUCAAUCCAGUCAAGUACUAUUAUAUGUAGAUCACGCUUUGGCUGUAUUUGAAUCGACGUUUGAAAAACUUUAACACAAAAAGAAAAUACUAAAAAGUACUCUUCGAUCUGUUCAAAAGUUUUUCCAUUCGAUUCUGGUACAAACAACAACACAAAAACGGCCAAUAUCAGCGAUACCAACCCGAAACCGACAAACGUGAUGGCCACGCCAAGCGAUGUUAAUAAAUACGGAAACGCGCGAAGUGUAAAGAACAUGGACAGACAACCGUAAGACACUAAUGAGCUGCUGCCGACGGCCCUGAUAGAUGUGGGGAGCAAUUCGCUGGUCAGCGUCCAAGGGAACACGAGCACGCCAAUCGAACUGCUCAGCACGAACACCAUGACGCCGACUAACGGAACGGACAAGCCAGUCAACCCGAUCUGAUCUGAGCCGAUCGGCGUCUGUUGCGAGCCAACCGUCAAUGUCACCGUAGCCGACGACAGAGCCAUGCCCAAACACGAAACCACCAUGAGAGGUCUGCGACCGAAGUAAAACGACAACAACGACGUGACGAUGCCGCCGACGAACCUGAUGAUACCCAACAGCGCCAGUGCUUCCAGUUCGUUGGCCGAUCCGCCCGGCACGAUCAACUGGAACACUGGCAGCGCGUACGAUAUGAUCAUGUACGCGCCGCUGCACUGUUGCAGGGUCAACAGAACGAUCAAUAUGAUCACUGGCUUGUAAGCGGCCUGGCUGGUCCGCAGUGUUCGGAAAAACGUCUGCUUAGACUUGUCUAUUGCGUAGUUGUUUUCAUCGGCGGUCAUCUCGUUUAGGAGGUUCCAUUCGGCAUUGAAUAACUAUAAAAAACCAACAACAUAUCUCGGAUAUUGUAACUGUAAUAACACUCCAAUGGAUUUUUUAGUCUUUACUCGAUUGUUGUGAGGAUAAAUCUGUUUUAUCGCCCUUUUCCCUUUGAUCUCGUACUCCGGACCUUUGAACUUGAAUAUCCACGCCGGGCUUUCCGGCACGCAUAUCACUGUCAACGCCAUAAUAGCCACGGUAAACAAGGCAAACGUGCUGGUGAUGGCUUUCCAGUCGAGGAAGUUGAUUAACACGGUAGAAAGUAAUACGCCGGUCGAGAAAAACACACUAUUCAAAGACAACAGGAAUGACUUGUACGUGGGAUGAGCGAUUUCCGACACGUAUACUAUAACCACUGUUGCCAUACCUGCAACGUCAAUAUAAGCACCAUAAAGCAUAAAGGCUUUUGUCCGCGUAUUGCAUUGGUGUUGAUAGUAUUGUCUACAAGUCUUGCUUACCGCAACCAAUACCCGCGCAUAUUCUGGACACAUAAAACCAAACUAUGUUGUCGAACGUCAUGCCCACGGCAAGCAGCCAGGAAACUAAAAGCGGCAGACAUGUGCAGAGACAAGCAUUUUUCCGGCCAAAUCUUUCCAUGAUUGGGCCAACUAGAAUCGACCCCAGGGGCGUACACAAGGGCACAAUGCUGGCUUUUAAUAAUACAAAUAAACAACGUUAAAAAAAUAUGUAGGUAAUAAUUUUAUUUAAAGUUUCCUCACAUCAAUAUAAUGUCUCAGAUCACGUAAUACAAUUAAAUAAUAGUUUUGUAUGUUAUUGGUAAUAGUGUAAUAUAAAUUUGACAGACAAAAGUAAUUUUUACUAUAUAUUUUGUAUUAAGUAUUUAUAUGAACAUGUACUUUUUCUUAUUUAAGAUUUAAAAAUACAUUGUAUCCAUA